rnacentral:rRNA from 1 species
AUUGAACGCUGGCGGCAGGCCUAACACAUGCAAGUCGAGCGGAUGAAGGGAGCUUGCUCCUGGAUUCAGCGGCGGACGGGUGAGUAAUGCCUAGGAAUCUGCCUGGUAGUGGGGGAUAACGUCCGGAGACGGGCGCUAAUACUGCAUACGUCCUGAGGGAGAAAGUGGGGGAUCUUCGGACCUCACGCUAUCAGAUGAGCCUAGGUCGGAUUAGCUAGUUGGUGGGGUAAAGGCCUACCAAGGCGACGAUCCGUAACUGGUCUGAGAGGAUGAUCAGUCACACUGGAACUGAGACACGGUCCAGACUCCUACGGGAGGCAGCAGUGGGGAAUAUUGGACAAUGGGCGAAAGCCUGAUCCAGCCAUGCCGCGUGUGUGAAGAAGGUCUUCGGAUUGUAAAGCACUUUAAGUUGGGAGGAAGGGCAGUAAGUUAAUACCUUGCUGUUUUGACGUUACCAACAGAAUAAGCACCGGCUAACUUCGUG